rnacentral:rRNA from 1 species
AUUGAACGCUGGCGGCAGGCCUAACACAUGCAAGUCGAGCGGAUGAAGGGAGCUUGCUCCUGGAUUCAGCGGCGGACGGGUGAGUAAUGCCUAGGAAUCUGCCUUGUAGUGGGGGAUAACGUCCGGAAACGGGCGCUAAUACCGCAUACGUCCUGAGGGAGAAAGUGGGGGAUCUUCGGACCUCACGCUAUCAGAUGAGCCUAGGUCGGAUUAGCUAGUUGGUGGGGUAAAGGCCUACCAAGGCGACGAUCCGUAACUGGUCUGAGAGGAUGAUCAGUCACACUGGAACUGAGACACGGUCCAGACUCCUACGGGAGGCAGCAGUGGGGAAUAUUGGACAAUGGGCGAAGGCCUGAUGCAGCCAUGCCGCGUGUGUGAAGAAGGUCUUCGGAUUGUAAAGCACUUUAAGUUGGGAGGAAGGGCAGUAAGUUAAUACCUUGCUGUUUUGACGUUACCAACAGAAUAAGCACCGGCUAACUUCGUG